AAGUUAAAAAUCUUCAUGUGGUAUCUUCGAAGGGGAGUUGUGCUAACCAAAGACAAUCUCGCCCGUCGCAAUUGGCAAGGAAGCAAGAAAUAUAGUUUUCAUACUCAUGACGAGGCAAUCAAACACCUCUUCUUCCAAUGCAAGUUUGCACAUUCUAUGUGGUCAAUCAUCCAAAUAGCAUUCAUUUUGUAUCUGCCCACAAGUGUUGCCAAUUUUUGGUCACUGUCAGUAUUGCGAAAUAGGUUCAAAACGCUAAUGAGGCUGGGAGCAUAUGCCUUAUUGUGGGCUUUGGCUACUUGGUCUACGCUACAUUAA
rnacentral:rRNA from 1 species